rnacentral:misc_RNA from 1 species
GUGAAUCAUCAAAUCUUUGAACGCAAAUUGCACUCCCUGGUAUUCCGGGGAGUAUGCCUGUUUGAGGGUCGUUAGCACCAACAACGAAUCGUCGCUCUUUUUUGUAAGGGUGAUCCCGUCGGAAUUGAGCCGUCUUUCAAAUGUUAAUUCAUGUCUAAGUGUCUUGAAAUUCAUACAUCCGGUACGAUUAAAGCGUAAGUAAG